UGGGGAAUAUUGGACAAUGGGGGCAACCCUGAUCCAGCCAUGCCGCGUGAGCGAUGAAGGCCUUAGGGUUGUAAAGCUCUUUCAGCGGGGAAGAUAAUGACGGUACCCGCAGAAGAAGCCCCGGCUAACUCCGUGCCAGCAGCCGCGGUAAUACGGAGGGGGCUAGCGUUGUUCGGAAUUACUGGGCGUAAAGCGCACGUAGGCGGAUCAGCAAGUUAGGGGUGAAAUCCCGGGGCUCAACCCCGGAACUGCCUUUAAAAACUGCUGGUCUGGAGUCCGAGAGAGGUGAGUGGAAUUCCGAGUGUAGAGGUGAAAUUCGUAGAUAUUCGGAGGAACACCAGUGGCGAAGGCGGCUCACUGGCUCGGUACUGACGCUGAGGUUGCGAAAAGCGUGGGGAGCAAAACA
rnacentral:rRNA from 1 species